UACGUAGGGGGCGAGCGUUGUCCGGAGUUACUGGGCGUAAAGCGCACGCAGGCGGUCGUUAAGUUUGGAGUGACAGUUGGUGGCUUAACUGCCAAAGUGCUUUGAAACUAAGAUCGACUGAGGUCGUUCAGAGGGACACGGAAUUCCGGGUGGAGUGGUGAAAUGCGUAGAGAUCCGGAGGAACACCAGGAGGCGAAGGCAGUGUCCUGGGGAGUACCUGACGCUCAGGUGCGAAAGCCGGGGGAGCGAACGGG
rnacentral:rRNA from 1 species